UCUUUCUAUUUUGGGAUCAUAGUAGUCUUCACAUGUAUUCUGGAGCAGGGCAAUAGGUAGAGCCCUAUCCUAGACAAAGCUGGCCUUUUGACAGAUCUUAACAAAAGUUUUUACAUUUGAAGCUAAUCUAUUCCCUCUUUCUAAAUAUCAUUCUGUUUAGGUAGAUGUGGAAGCAAAGUUUUAUAUAUUGUUAAUUUGUAAGGGACAAAUGAAGUUAACCUUAAUAACAUUGCAUCUGAAAUUUGAAUCCAUCAGAAAGACUAAGAGAGCCCAUAUUUUUCUUUCCUUGUGAAAAAAGGGGCAAAAUAUUUUUAUGUUGCACAUUGCCAAACUUAAAUCAACCAGGCUCUUAUUAUCCUUCCAAAAAUACAUUUAAAUUCUCAUGCUGGUAUAAAUAAUAAUAUAAUUCUCCAUAUAACUUAUUGAUAACAGGUUAUUAUUCAGUUUCAAAAUAUUGAAUAGCAAAAUAAAUCCCUGUUAUGGUCUACUUAUGAGGUAUCCUCCAAAAGCUCAUAUGUAAGACAGUAUCAUAAUUUUCAGUGGUGAAAUGAUUAGAUUAUGGAGAUGUGAACUAAUAGGCUGAUACGAGUCAACUGGGUUGUAACUGUAAGCAGGUAGGGUGUGGCUGG
rnacentral:lncRNA from 1 species